GCCCGGAUGGCGGAAUUGGUAUACGCACAAGACUUAAAAUCUUGCGCCGCAAGGCUUGUGGGUUCGAGUCCCACUCCGGGCACCA
rnacentral:tRNA from 1 species